CUGUAGGAGGCAACACAAGGUGAGAAUCCUCUUCAGCUGAUUUUCUUCAACUUCCAAUUGCCUGUUCAGGUUACCUCCAGACCUGCCCUUCUUCUGAUAUUCUUGCACGGAUCUUUAGUAGACCACAGAAACCCAUGAUUUGUGUAGGGGGAGUUUGCACACAAUCUGUGCAACCAGUUAUCUGCUUUCGUGCAACUACAACAAUUCCAGCAGCCAAGUAUGGUCACACUGUGUGCAAAAAAAAGUAGACACAAAAUAUAUCCACAACAGUUGUGUAAACAAAACAUAGGCAAAUUGAAGCUGCUUUCAUGCAACUAAAUCAGUUCCAGCAACCAAAAUAUAGCCACACUGUGUGCAAAAAUGAUGUGCAACAAAAAGAUGUGCAAAAACAUGGUAAGUAUGUCAGCAUCCCAUGCAACAAACCAACAAACCCAGUCGCUAUUGUGGCAAUUGCAGCACCAACUGAGCCAGCUGCAGGUCCAAAUGAACCAACUGUAUCAGCCAUUGUGCCAACUCCACCAGCAAGUGAGCCAUCUACAGACACAAUUGUGCAACCACAACAACUAGGAGGAGGGAAAAGUGAGGAUCCAUUAAAUUUCUUCCUCUUUAACUUCCCCUUCACCUCCCCUCUAGACCUUGUUUACCCAUGGCUUUGUCAUCUUCAAAGAAAGCAUAGAUUCCUGUAGACUUCCUCCUGGGUUAGUUUGUUUUGAUGAUCAAACUUUGUGCCUUUUUGAGCUGUUGGCAAAGGAGGUUGGACAGGUUGCCCAAUACCACUAUUAGUUGGCAACAAAAUGUCUUGCAGUUGGCACAAGUAGACCUUUAGUUAGCUCAGAAGUUGCUCCAUUUGGCACAUUUGAACCUGCAGUUGGCUCAAUAGCUGCUGGGGGUGGCACAGUGGCUGCCAGAGUUGUCACAAUUGGAUAUGCAGUUGGCUCACUGGAUGCUGGAGUUGGCACAUUUGGACCUGCAGCUGGCCCACUAGACGCUAGAGUUGGCACAAUGGCUACUUGAGUUGCCACAAUGGCUUCUGGAGUUGUCACUGAGCCUUUGUCUGUUGGUACUUUACUAGAUGUUAUGCUGAGAUCUUGAGUUGGCACUGUAUCAGGUUUGCUUGGCAGUUUGUACUCUGAAGUUGGCAAGAUAAUGUCUGGGGUUGGCACAGCUAGAUCUGUGACUGCCUCACUGUACAAUGUCUCCUGCCAACUAAAUGGUCUAGAGUGUGCAACUAUC
rnacentral:rRNA from 1 species